UGAAAAGAACAAAUUAAGACUACAUUUAGAACACAGAUGCAAGAAUUAAAGAAUUGAUUAAUACCGUCAGCUAAAAUGUAGCUUGAAAACAGAAUGAGUUUGCAGGACUUACAGUAUGCAAAAGAGAUCAAUGUCACUAUGGGAAUUUGAUAAACGAAGGUUACUUGGGAAUGAAUGACAACUACAUUUGUAGACACUCUUAUGAGUUUGGUGUCCCAGUCUGUCCCAGUGCUCUGGAACUCGAUCCCAAGACUCCACCUGCAGCCUUGACCAACAAGAUAACGGUCCCUGGCUCUGAGCAUUGCAAGAACAAAGAGACUGUUUUUGUGAUUGGGAGGAGGCAAGCACUGUUUCCCGGAAGAAAAACAUCAUCCUCAGAGAUGAAUACUGCUGUUGAGAGGUGGAGGAGCUCACAAGAUGAAAAUGAACAUUUUGGAAAAUUGACUCGAGUGUUGGACAGGUUAGCUCUGAGACGACUAAAGCAGAACUUGAGACAAUGAGCUGCUGCGAAAGACACGUGAAACAUGAAGUGUCCAACAACCGAACUGGACUCCUUGUUGAAGCAUUACCAAACUUAGUGGGGCUUGGGUCAAAGUGGAUGGAAGCUUGCUUGGCACUGGGUUUGACAUAACUGAGGAGUUUUGAUAAUAUGGGAAUAAUGUGUGGAAUAGAUUGGGGUAAUACAGAUAGUAUUGUCACAGAUGGAGUGUGGAAUGGAGUGAGGCGACCAAAUGCAGCUUGGACCAGGGUUUAUUGCAGGAACUCAAAAGACAUACUCGGCAACUAACAUAACUUACUGACAAAAUCAAUAACAGGAACCGAACAGCGACGUGAGACAAAACGGACAGGGUGGCAUUCCAAGACAGCAGCAACAGCAUGCAAUGCUCCGAACUCGAGUGGCACACAAACAGAACUUAAAUACAAUACAGGCAACAAGAGGCAGGUGAGUGUGAUUACACUAAUCAAGGGCACACAGGAAGGGAGGGGCGAGCAACGAUGACACAACCAAAACUGGGGACGAGACAUGACAGAACCCCCCCCCCCCCACAAGGGACGGCUCCCGACGUCCCAAAAACCCAACCCCCCACGGCGACACGCGGGGGGGCAGCGCACCAGUCCAGACGACCCUACUGGUCUCUGAAAUAGCCUGAACCGCGCACGACGGCAACUUGGGGCACAAAACCGCACUCGGGCGGCGACCUGGGGCACAGAACCGCACUCGGGCGGCGACCUGGGGCACAGAACCGCACUCGGGCGGCGACCUGGGGCACAGAACCGCACUCGGGCGGCGACCUGGGGCACCGAACCGCACUCGGGCGGCGACCUGGGGCACCGAACUGCACUCGGGCGGCGACUUGGGGCACCGAACCGCACUCGGGCGGCGACUUGGGGCACCGAACCGCACUCGGGCGGCGACUUGGGGCACCGAACCGCACUCGGGCGGCGACUUGGGGCACCGAACCGCACUCGGGCGGCGACUUGGGGCACCGAACCGCACUCGGGCGGCGACUUGGGGCACCGAACCGCACUCGGGCGGCGACUUGGGGCACCGAACCGCACUCGGGCGGCGACUUGGGGCACCGAACCGCACUCGGGCGGCGACUUGGGGCACCGAACCGCACUCGGGCGGCGACUAGGGGAUCCGAACCGCACUCGGGCGGCGACUAGGGGAACCGAACCGCAAACGCCGCAGCAGUGGGACGAUCGCGGGUCCUGGCUUGAAGUCGGGCGACGUCAAAGGGGCCUGCGACGCUGGGGUGGAGCCCGAUGGCGACCGCGAGUCUGAUGACGCCGGGAGGCACUCCAAUGGCGGCCGCGGGUCCGGCGUCGCGGCAGUGCAGUCCGAUCGCGGCCGCAAAGCUGCUGUCGCAAGAAGCACUCCGAUGGCGACCGCGAGUCUGAUGACGCCGGGGGGCACUCCGAUGGCGAACGCGUGUCCGGCCUCGCGGCAGCAAAGUCCGAUGACUUCCGCAGCCGAUGACGCCGGGAGGAACUCCGAUGGCGGCUGGAGCAAGGUCCAAAUGGCGGCCGUGGAGCGAAGUCCGAUGGCGCUGGAACCUUCUCGGACGAUGGACAGGGAUCGGGCGUCGCAGUGGGAGCUGAUGGUGGAAGAAGGUCCAAGCGCUGGUCGCUGUAGUGGUCGGAGCAUUCUGUCACGAAUGGGGUGGUGGAGAUGGAGCGAGGCGACCAAGUGCAGCUUGGACCAGGGUUUAUUGCAGCAAACUCAAAAGACAUACUCGGCAACUAACAUAACUUACUGGCAAAAUCAAUAACAGGAACCGAACAGCCACUCAAAAAAAAACGGGCAGCGUGGCAUUCCAUGACAACAGCAUGCACAAUGCUCCGACCACAAGUGGUACACAAACAGAACUUAAAUACAACACAGGCAACAAGAGGCAGGUGAGCAUGAUUACACUAAUCAUGGGCACACAGGAAAGGAGGGGCGACGCGAACAGAAACCAUGGCAACCUACACACAGCAAAACUGGGGACGAGACAUGACAAGUAUACUAAAAUGGUAGGAAGCAAGCAGUGGGAUCAGAUAUUUUUGAUCGUCAAGCUUAAAAGGAGUUGAAAUUUAGCCAAGUAAAAUUUUUCAAUUGGGAAUUGUAAGACAUUUGGACCAAAUUGAAUUCAGUCACAAGGGGUCUAUGUUGCUCAAUGUACCUGAUCAAUACAAUAGUUAUUAGUUAAUUACACCUCAGUGGAAAUUAUGUUGUCAGAGAGUUGUGUCCAUUAAAAGGAGAGUUAAAGGGGCUGUAAGAACUUUUGACCUUUAGAUUAAUUAUGCAUAAAAAGCGACAGUUAACAACAGGGGUCACCAAACUACGGCCCGCGGGCCGGAUACGGCCCACGGGACCGUUUAAUCCGGCCCGCCAACCCUGAACAAAUUGUAUUAUUAAACUUUUUUUUUUGGGUCAUUUUGCCUGCAAUGACUGCGUUUCCCCAGUAGAUGGGGAAGCGCUCGCCUGCGCAUUUACUACCGGAAGCCGUGUCAGAAAGCUCGGUGCACACUCACAAGUGCGUGUACGUACAUGGCGCACUCGUGCUCUAUUUGUAUCAGUCCCGAAUUUAGAGCGUGGGCUGUGACGACAGCAUUCUUGUAAUUCGCGCGCUGAGCUUUCUGAUGCAGUUUUGCGCUAAAGCCACCCACAAACCUUCCCCUGGAAUCCUUCCAUUAAAAUGAGUCGCCCAAGGAAAAGCAAGGUGGACACAGUGCCGAGCGUUUAAAAGAGAGUGGCCAAUUUGGCUCGACGUACGCGACGUGACGUUCAGCCACAUGAACGUCAACAUCAACCCGUCACAGAUCGAGGUAAACGGACCAACACCUCGGAUCUCGCCUAAGAAUUGCCACAACAAAUUUUACUCCAGACUAUGACGCACUAGCAAACUUUAACAAAAAAGACAGCGGUGUCUACAAGCCUACUAGAACCUACAAAAGGAUUAUAAGGAAGGAACACAAGAACUUUAAGAGACUGCUCAUAUGUGUCAGAGAGAUUCUGCUCUGACAACUGAGCUGAACUUUUAUCUGUUAAGAUUGUGCAUGGCACAACAGAAAGUUAAUGCUCCAUGGCUUUUUUUUCUAUGAAGAACCCAGAGAGAGUUAUUUAGUUAUUAUUUGUUUCCUGUUUUUUCUGUGAAGAACUCAGAGAGGGUUAUUUAGUUAUUAUUUAUUUCAUUAAUAAUGUUAUUAUUUGUUUCUUGACUUUUUUUCUGUAAAGAACCUGGAAAGGGUUAUUAAAUAACCGUUAUUUGGUUAUGUGUGGCUUUCUGGAAAACAAUAAAAUUUUUAAGCUCCCCUACGAUCGUCACACUUUUUCUGUUACAAACUGACGCCGGACCCCCAUCAGAGAAGGGAAAAGUUAUGUGGCCCUCACAGGAAAAAGUUUGGGGACCCCUGGUUAACAACAUGACAAAGUGAAACAUCAGACAAAGUAAAGCGCCAGAGGAAUUAGUCUGACUAUUUAUUUUUUGCUUUUUGAAAAUAAUUGAUUAGGAUAAUUUUUUGAGGAGCCAUCUGAUGCUGGAUGCUCCCCAAUAACACAGACCCAUACUUAGCCUCUCGAGUAGAAAUAUUUAUUGAUAAUUUUAUUGAAACUUGGAUUGAUGUAUUUACGAAAGAUUUAAUUGGCGAGACUGUCCAAACAGGUAGAAUUCUUUUUAGGAUUCAAUGUUUGCUUGCUCACUGGCAUACUAAAUUUGCUUGUUGUGUGAUGAGAGUUGGCUGUAGGUGAAUGAAUGAGCGCCCGUGUGUCUGUGAGUGUGUGGGUGCGUGCGUGCGCAAUAUGAUUGGCCAAGAUAGUUUGGAGUUGGGGUGUUGUGAUCACGAUAGAGGAUAAAAUUCCUCUCACCUGAAAGUAUAGUACAGAUUGGAAUACCUAGGAUUUGAUGAAUGAUCAGGGGUACCAUUGACGAUAAGAUGGUUCAAUGCUGAAGGCCUGUCCGUUUCAGUCCUAUGACCGGACACGACUGGAUCAGCUAGUCCAGCUACGAUCAGUAUGAUACUGUGCCGGCACGCUUUGUUGGUCCCUUUUGAUCCCUGAUGACACAAUUUAACACAUUGUAUGAAUGUGUCAAAGCGGGGAGAGUGAGUGUAAAUGAGUAAGUAGAAUCAAUUUGUAAAUUAUGAGAUUCAAUGUGUUUUCAAAUGUACUUGUUUUUGAAGCCUCAACAGGGCAUGUAAGAAUUCAACAUACAGUGAUGGAAGGAGCAGAAGAAGGAUCUCGUAAGGAAGGGAGUGAACGAGAGGCAACAACCUGGAAUGGAUACAUUGCGUGGUAACAAUUUAGAGAUGAUAAAGUUUAACAUGUAUUUAUUUUUUUUAAGACAAACUGCAAACGGUGUCGAAUCAUACAGCUACAAGAUAAGCAACAAACAUUUAGAAGGUCAUUUAAUGUAGGAGAUAAAUAGACAAAUUACAAGGAAUAGGGAAUAUGUUUGAUAAAAGAAUAAUAACUAGAAAAUGCAAUUUCUGGAGAAAUUGCGUGUGAAGGUGAAGAAACUGAAUAACUUCUGGGGGUAUGCUGCAGAAUGAUGUUGGAAUGAGUUGAAUUACUUGAAAAAUGUAGAAAUUAGAGGUGAAAAACGAAAUUUUGUGAAAUUUUGCAGAAAUUUUAAAAAUCACGUGAAUUAUUUUUAUUUAGCAAUUUUGGGAAUGUCGAGAAUCCUUCCGAAUGUGAUUUGAAUGUGCUGAAUUAUACGAAUUUCAAACUGGAACGACGUAAAUGUGAAAUGUUGAAUGUGCCAUUCAGAAUGAAUGGGGAAAAAUUUGUCGUGAAUUUUGCGAAAACGGAAUAUUUUUAGAACGAGAAAAAUGGAAGCCCUCAUCUCGUGAAUAUUUGGAAUACGUCAAAAGUGGAAUGGAGUGAAUCAGUUGAAUUAUGUGUAAGUAGUAGAAGGACAGAAAAGUGAGGAGAAUAAAAUAGAAGAAGAAGAAGUGAAUGGUGUAAAAUAACAUAAGUGUGAAGGACUAUUAUUAAAUAUUAUGAAUAUUAAAACAAAUUUAGCAGUUGAACCAUGAACCAUUUUGGGAAAAUGCUGAAUGAUUUGAACAUGAAUUGAAUUGAACAUGAGAUAUAGAUAACUGCAAGAUACACUGAAUUCGAAUUGGGUUCAAGCCCUCCCUCUCGCAUUGAUGUGUGUGCAUAUGUCUGUUAAUGCCCGAACUGGGCACACUCGUUUUGAGUUGCAGAAAGGUUGUUGUUUUCCUGGACCAAUUUCGGCCCUUCCAGUUGCUGAUCCGGAUGGUGGUUUGCUGAGCACACUGCAGCGGACCCAGAUGGGGCCGCCGAGAUUCAAAUCACCCCAACUAUCUGGCUGAAAGUCCUGAAGAGAAAGUGGACAGAGCCUCGGUGGACUGGACCUUUUGCAGUGGUGGAGCGCACAUCGCAUGCCGUCCGGCUGGCCGGCAAAGGAGACACGUGGUAUCAUCUCUCCCAGUGUGCCCCUGUGAAGGAUUCUUGCAUAGAUCCAGAUCCGCCAUCGACAGCGUCCCCACUCCCAAUUGAAAAAGAGGCGGAAUAAUCCUCUUCCCCUUGGUGGCCAGGUAGUCUACCCUGAGCCAUUGAAGACCAAGACUGCACAGCAGCUGUUUUCAGGUUCCUUCCGGACGGAGCAGAGCUGCAAAGGGGGUAAGAACUGUGCUUACCCUCUACCAGUGGGCGUGCCAAGCCCCCAACGGCUGAACUACUACGAGCAAGUGUUAUCUCGGACUAAUGUUAUUGAUAACACUGUGGUCGCCUAAGGCAAAAGGACCGUGUGAGCCUUUCCCUGCAUGCCGCAGGUUUUUCACUCACACACUCAAGUUGAACAGGAGAAUUGAGGUUAGACCUCCUCCUCACGGCGGUUUCUUGCUGACAUUGAAGUUUUUGAUCAUGUAUCACCUUUUGCAACCCCCACCCUGUCCUCCCUCAUUUACUCUCUUAAUGUUAGGUAUUUGUGCUCUUGCUCUCUUAAUCAUGUCUCCACUGAUAUGGCUCGAAUUGCAGCCUUCCCUCGAAUUGAUACAAAUUUCUGCCGCACAUUCUAAUGACACCUGCACGGACAUUGAUACUCUCAUGCUUACAGCCGCCAUUAUUCCCCCAACCCCGACAUAAGAUUGACUUCUCAGAUGAUCCAAUAUUCCCGCGUUCAUGACGUACUUUGUUAGUUUGUCCUUGUCUUUUGGUUGACCUCUGUCGAGGUCAAAAGGGGGACUGAAAAGGGAGCAACAGCAAUGUCUAAAUGUUUUAUAUUAAUUUUAUAUUAAUUUAUACAAACAUAGUUGCUCUAUCAGAGCACAGACACGGCACACACAGCUUGGUAACUUUUCCAUUACACAUAAGGCAGAGCUCCUUAACGUCAUGACACAUUGAUACAAAACAUUUAGUAGAUAACAAGUCAUUCUUAUGAGGAUAUGUUUUUCCUUCUUUUCCCCUCCCCUUCCGUAUUCCUGCUUGCGGACAGUAUAAAAUCUUCUGAUCUGGAGUCUGACGUUGUUGUUCUCAUCUACUGAAGUGCACUUGUACUGACUGCCGUGAAGCAACCCAAGCUCUUGCAAAUAAAGAACCAACUAUUACUCCA